GAUGAACGCUGGCGGCGUGCCUAAUACAUGCAAGUCGAGCGAACAGACGAGGAGCUUGCUCCUCUGACGUUAGCGGCGGACGGGUGAGUAACACGUGGAUAACCUACCUAUAAGACUGGGAUAACUUCGGGAAACCGGAGCUAAUACCGGAUAAUAUAUUGAACCGCAUGGUUCAAUAGUGAAAGACGGUUUUGCUGUCACUUAUAGAUGGAUCCGCGCCGCAUUAGCUAGUUGGUAAGGUAACGGCUUACCAAGGCAACGAUGCGUAGCCGACCUGAGAGGGUGGUCGGCCAAACUGGAACUGAGACACGGUCCAGACUCCUACGGGGGGCAGCAGUAGGGAAUCUUCCGCAAUGGGCGAAAGCCUGACGGAGCAACGCCGCGUGAGUGAUGAAGGUCUUCGGAUCGUAAAACUCUGUUAUUAGGGAAGAACAAAUGUGUAAGUAACUAUGCACGUCUUGACGGUACCUAAUCAGAAAGCCACGGCUAACUACGUG
rnacentral:rRNA from 1 species